UGACAAAGUUUAACGGCCGCGGUAUCCUGACCGUGCGAAGGUAGCAUAAUCACUUGUUCUUUAAAUAGGGACUAGUAUCAACGGCAUCACGAGGGUUACACUGUCUCCUUUCCACAAUCAGUGAAACUGAUCUCCCCGUGAAGAAGCGGGGAUACAACUAUAARACGAGAAGACCCCAUGGAGCUUUAAGCUCAACAACACCUCCACGCAUACACACCCUUAUAGCCCACGAGCCCUGUAUGUUAGCUUUAGGUUGGGGUGACCGCGGAGUAUAACAUAACCUCCACGACGAAUAGGCCUAAAACCUUUAUCCAAGAGCAACUGCUCUAAGAAUCAUAAAAUUGACACUGAAUGAUCCGAUCUUCGAUCAACGGACCAAGUUACCCUGGGGAUAACAGCGCAAUCCAUUUCAAGAGCUCCUAU
rnacentral:rRNA from 1 species